rnacentral:rRNA from 1 species
GUGAACGCUGGCGGCAGGCCUAACACAUGCCAGUCGAGCGGCAGCGGGUCCUUCGGGCUGCCGGCGAGCGGCGGACGGGUGAGGAAUACAUCGGAAUCUGCCCUGUCGUGGGGGAUAACCUAGGGAAACUUAGGCUAAUACCGCAUACGACCUACGGGUGAAAGCGGGGGAUCGCAAGACCUCGCGCGACAGGAUGAGCCGAUGUCCGAUUAGCUAGUUGGCGGGGUAAAGGCCCACCAAGGCGACGAUCGGUAGCUGGUCUGAGAGGAUGAUCAGCCACACUGGGACUGAGACACGGCCCAGACUCCUACGGGAGGCAGCAGUGGGGAAUAUUGGACAAUGGGCGCAAGCCUGAUCCAGCCAUGCCGCGUGGGUGAAGAAGGCCUUCGGGUUGUAAAGCCCUUUUGUCCGGGAAGAAAUCGUCUGGGCUAAUACCCCGGGCGGAUGACGGUACCGGAAGAAUAAGCACCGGCUAACUUCGUG